UUCUCCUGCGCCAUCAAUUCCAUCCUUACAGCUCCUCAUCCUGCGACUCUGAGAAGUUGCUCUUCCCUUUCCUUUUCUGCACCAGAGCAGGUUUAUAAUCCCUUCAUUUCUUGACUGGCAAUUAAGAGACGACUGGAAGGAGGCGGAGGCCAUGCGAAUAUUUCUGGAGAAGACCUUCACCUACAGCACGGCAUUCAAGUAAUGUAGGGUACGCUCAUUUAGGCCGUGGACAAAGCAGCGCGCACUUCCGGGGGGGAAAAGGAGACCGGAAGUGUGCUGCCCCUGCGCGCACGAAGGAGGAAGCGCCUUGCGGACUGCUUCAGGCAGUUUCCUGGAGGGAGGGCCUCAGGCAGCAGCUCCGGAAGGAAGGAAGGAAGGAACCGGCUCACAGCUGAAGGCAGAAGCAAAAUUGUUAGCAGAAGCCUCCUGUGACAGUGAGCUUCUCUGGAAGGUGCAAUUCCAUGAUUUGGAGAUGUCUGCAGAGUCUGGAGAGAUCUUCAGCAGCACCAAGGGUCUCAGUUUCGAGUACUUUGUUCAGAAAGCAGGAUUGGAACCUAUUUCCGCUGUGCCAGAGUACAAGAAGAGGAGGCUUAGCCAACGUGGGCCGUGUAAGUGCGGAGGGAUUUGUACAUCAAUUUUAUAGCCGAGUAGCCUCUUUCCUCCUCUCCUUC